GCGCCCGUAGCUCAGUGGAUAGAGCGUCUGCCUCCGGAGCAGAAGGUCGUAGGUUCGAAUCCUAUCGGGCGCACC
rnacentral:tRNA from 2 species